rnacentral:rRNA from 1 species
UACGAAGGGGGCUAGCGUUGUUCGGAAUUACUGGGCAUAAAGGGUGCGUAGGUGGCUUGUUAAGUCAGGGGUGAAAGUUUUCGGCCCAACCGGAAAAUGGCCUUUGAUACUGGCGAGCUCGAGUGCGUGAGGGGUAACCGGAACGAGCAGUGUAGCGGUGAAAUGCGUAGAUAUUGCUCGGAAGGCCAACGGCGAAGGCAGGUUACUGGUACGCAACUGACACUGAGGCACGAAAGCGUGGGGAGCAAACAGG